rnacentral:rRNA from 1 species
AUUGAACGCUGGCGGCAUGCCUUACACAUGCAAGUCGAACGGCAGCACGGGAGCAAUCCUGGUGGCGAGUGGCGAACGGGUGAGUAAAGUAUCGGAACGUGCCCAGUCGUGGGGGGUAACGUAGCGAAAGUUACGCUAAUACCGCAUACGAUCUAUGGAUGAAAGCGGGGGAUCGCAAGACCUCGCGCGAUUGGAGCGGCCGAUAUCAGAUUAGGUAGUUGGUGGGGUAAAGGCUCACCAAGCCGACGAUCUGUAGCUGGUCUGAGAGGACGACCAGCCACACUGGGACUGAGACCCGGCCCAGCCUCCUACGGGAGGCAGUAGUGGGGAAUGUUGGACAAUGGGCGCAAGCCUGAUCCAGCCAUGCCGCGUGCAGGAGGAAGGCCUUCGGGUUGUAAACUGCUUUUGUACGGAACGAAAAGGUUUGACUUAAUACGUUGGACUCAUGACGGUACCGUAAGAAUAAGCACCGGCUAACUACGUGCCAGCAGCCGCCGUAA